rnacentral:rRNA from 1 species
ACGGACCGUGAUAACCUCGGGAAACUGAGGCUAAUAACGGAUGUCGCUCCCGAGCUGGGAUGCUGGGAGCGAUAAAGCUCCGGCGCCGUAGGAUGUGACUGCGGCCGAUUAGGUAGACGGUGGGGUAAUGGCCCACCGUGCCGAUAAUCGGUACGGGUUGUGAGAGCAAGAACCCGGAGACGGACUCUGAGACAAGAGUCCGGGCCCUACGGGGCGCAGCAGGCGCGAAACCUUUACACUGCACGCAAGUGCGAUAGGGGGACACCGAGUGCGAGGGCAUAGAGCCCUCGCUUUUGUGCAUCGUAAGGUGGUACACGAAUAAGGGCUGGGCAAGACCGGUGCCAGCCGCCGCGGUAACACCGGCAGCCCGAGUGAUGGCCGCUUUUAUUGGGCCUAAAGCGUCCGUAGCCGGCCGUUCAGGUCCGUCGGGAAAUCCACUGGCUCAACCAGUGGGCGUCCGGCGGAAACCGAUCGGCUUGGGACAGGGAGACCAGAGGGGUACGUCCGGGGUAGGAGUGAAAUCCUGUAAUCCUGGACGGACCAACCGGUGGCGAAAGCGCCUCUGGAGAACUGAUCCGACGGUGAGGGACGAAAGCUGGGGUCUCGAAACCGGAUUAGAUACCCGGGUA